UCUCGGAAACUGAGGAUAAUACCCCAUAGGUCUGGGAGGCUGGAACGCACCCAGGCUGAAAACUCCGGUGUCCCAGGAUGGGUCUGCGGCCUAUCAGGUUGUAGUGGGUGUAAAGGACCCACUAGCCGACGACGGGUACGGGCCAUGGGAGUGGUAGCCCGGAGAUGGAUUCUGAGACACGAAUCCAGGCCCUACGGGGCGCAGCAGGCGCGAAAACUUCGCAAUGCGCGAAAGCGCGACGAGGGGAUUCCAAGUGCAUGCACUCAGUGCAUGCUGUUUUCCAGUGUAAAUAGCUGGGAGAGUAAGGGCUGGGUAAGACUGGUGCCAGCCGCCGCGGUAAUACCAGCGGCCCUAGUGGUGAUCGUUAUUAUUGGGCCUAAAGCGUCCGUAGCCGGCUCGGUAAAUCUCUGGGUAAAUCGAUAGGCUCAACUUAUCGAAUUCUGGGGAGACUGCCGGGCUUGGGACCGGGAGAGGUCGGAGGUACUCCAGGGGUAGGGGUGAAAUCCUGUAAUCCUUGGGGGACCACCGGUGGCGAAGGCGUCCGACCAGAACGGGUCCGACGGUAAGGGACGAAGCCCUGGGGCGCAAACCGGAUUAGAUACCCGGGUAGUCCAGGGUGUAAACGCUGUGCGCUUGGUGUUGGGGGUCCUACGAGGGCAUCCAGUGCCGGAGAGAAGUUGUUAAGCGCACCGCCUGGGGAGUACGGUCGCAAGACUGAAACUUAAAGGAAUUGGCGGGGGAGCACCGCAACGGGAGGAGCGUGCGGUUUAAUUGGA
rnacentral:rRNA from 1 species